GAUGAACGCUAGCGGCAGGCCUAAUACAUGCAAGUCGAGGGGCAGCGCGGUAGCAAUACUGGCGGCGACCGGCGCACGGGUGCGUAACACGUAUGCAACCUACCUUCAACUGGAGGAUAGCCCGGGGAAACUCGGAUUAAUACUCCAUAACACAGGGAUCCCGCAUGGGAAUAUUGUUAAAGCUACGGCGGUUGAAGAUGGGCAUGCGUUCGAUUAGCUAGUUGGUGUAGGUAACGGCUCACCAAGGCUACGAUCGAUAGGGGGUCUGAGAGGAUGAUCCCCCACACUGGUACUGAGAUACGGACCAGACUCCUACGGGAGGCAGCAGUAGGGAAUAUUGGUCAAAUGGGCGCAAGCCUGAACCAGCCAUGCCGCGUGCAGGAAGAAGGCCCCUCUGGGUUGUAAACUGCUUUUGAUAGGGAACAAAUGCCACUUGCGAGUGGAGCUGGGUGUACCUAUAGAAUAAGCACCGGCUAACUCCGUGCCAGCAGCCGCGGUAA
rnacentral:rRNA from 1 species